rnacentral:rRNA from 1 species
UACAGAGGUCUCAAGCGUUGUUCGGAUUCAUUGGGCGUAAAGGGCGCGUAGGUGGCGAGGUAAGUCGGAUGUGAAAGCUCGGAGCUCAACUCCGAAAUGGCAUUGGAAACUACCUUGCUCGAGGGUUGGAGGGGGGACUGGAAUGCUUGGUGUAGCAGUGAAAUGCGUAGAUAUCAAGCGGAACACCAGUGGCGAAGGCGAGUCCCUGGACAACUCCUGACACUGAGGCACGAAAGCUAGGGGAGCAAACAGG